rnacentral:lncRNA from 1 species
AAUGCUCCAGUCACGCCCUCCCCCGCCCGCCCUCCCCUCCCCCCCGGACCUGGUUUACGACACUGGGUGGUUUUACUUUUACAUCACCUUCCUACACCUAGUGCUCGGCCGGAACCUUGUUGCCAGGGGAGACCGGCGCUUUACGGCAGCGAGUUUGAACGGCGGCGGGGGAAUAAGGCGCUGCCACAGGACACAGAUGUCUUGGCACAGGAUUCUUACUGAAGAAUCCCAGUUCGGAAUUACUGUCUUUUCCUUCCUCUCACUGCUACACUCCUCGUGGUCAAGAGCUGGACAGUCACAGGCCCUACUGGCUUCUUUUCUUAAUGUGCCAGAACGGUCCUGAGUGUGAUGGAGGUGGGAAAGUGCACAGGAAACCAAGGUCUGUGGAUUCUGCUCCUGCUGGACGCUCUUUUCCUGCCUCGUGGUAUCCUUUUAAGAACACAUUAUUGUUGAUUUUAAAACUAGAAUCACGUCUUGGCAGAACUUCGAUACUGGAGAUCGCAAUCUACUAUAUGAGUAUUAGAUUAUUUUUACAUGUGCCUUCUGAAAUGUAGCAUUGGACUAAUUAAUAAAUAAAACGUAAACAUUUGCUUAACUAAGUAC